rnacentral:rRNA from 1 species
GACGAACGCUGGCGGCGUGCCUAAUACAUGCAAGUAGAACGCUGAAGGAGGAGCUUGCUUCUCUGGAUGAGUUGCGAACGGGUGAGUAACACGUAGGUAACCUGCCUGGUAGCGGGGGAUAACUAUUGGAAACGAUAGCUAAUACCGCAUAAGAGUAGAUGUUGCAUGACAUUUGCUUAAAAGGUGCAAUUGCAUCACUACCAGAUGGACCUGCGUUGUAUUAGCUAGUUGGUGGGGUAACGGCUCACCAAGGCGACGAUACAUAGCCGACCUGAGAGGGUGAUCGGCCACACUGGGACUGAGACACGGCCCAGACUCCUACGGGAGGCAGCAGUAGGGAAUCUUCGGCAAUGGACGGAAGUCUGACCGAGCAACGCCGCGUGAGUGAAGAAGGUUUUCGGAUCGUAAAGCUCUGUUGUAAGAGAAGAACGAGUGUGAGAGUGGAAAGUUCACACUGUGACGGUAUCUUACCAGAAAGGGACGGCUAACUACGUG